rnacentral:rRNA from 1 species
GAUGAACGCUGGCGGCGUGCCUAAUACAUGCAAGUCGAGCGAACAGACGAGGAGCUUGCUCCUCUGACGUUAGCGGCGGACGGGUGAGUAACACGUGGAUAACCUACCUAUAAGACUGGGAUAACUUCGGGAAACCGGAGCUAAUACCGGAUAAUAUAUUGAACCGCAUGGUUCAAUAGUGAAAGACGGUUUUGCUGUCGCUUGUAGAGGGAUCCGCGCGGCAUUAGCUAGUUGGUAAGGUAGCGGCUUACCAAGGCAACGAUGGGUAGCCGACCUGAGAGGGUGAACGGCCACAGUGGGACUGAGAGACGGCCCAGACUGCUACGGGAGGCAGCAGUGGGGAAUAGUGCACAAUGGGCGGAAGCCUGAUGCAGCAACGCCGCGUGCGGGAUGACGGCCUUCGGGGGGUAAACCGCUUUCGCCUGUGACGAAGCGUGAGUGACGGUAAUGGGUAAAGAAGCACCGGCUAACUACGUG